rnacentral:rRNA from 1 species
CUUGCUGGGUGGAUUAGUGGCGAACGGGUGAGUAACACGUGAGUAACCUGCCCUUAACUCUGGGAUAAGCCUGGGAAACUGGGUCUAAUACCGGAUAGGAGCGUCCACCGCAUGGUGGGUGUUGGAAAGAUUUAUCGGUUUUGGAUGGACUCGCGGCCUAUCAGCUUGUUGGUGAGGUAAUGGCUCACCAAGGCGACGACGGGUAGCCGGCCUGAGAGGGUGACCGGCCACACUGGGACUGAGACACGGCCCAGACUCCUACGGGAGGCAGCAGUGGGGAAUAUUGCACAAUGGGCGAAAGCCUGAUGCAGCGACGCCGCGUGAGGGAUGACGGCCUUCGGGUUGUAAACCUCUUUCAGUAGGGAAGAAGCGAAAGUGACGGUACCUGCAGAAGAAGCACCGGCUAACUACGUGCCAGCAGCCGCGGUAAUACGUAGGGUGCGAGCGUUAUCCGGAAUUAUUGGGCGUAAAGAGCUCGUAGGCGGUUUGUCGCGUCUGUCGUGAAAGUCCGGGGCUUAACCCCGGAUCUGCGGUGGGUACGGGCAGACUAGAGUGCAGUAGGGGAGACUGGAAUUCCUGGUGUAGCGGUGGAAUGCGCAGAUAUCAGGAGGAACACCGAUGGCGAAGGCAGGUCUCUGGGCUGUAACUGACGCUGAGGAGCGAAAGCAUGGGGAGCGAACAGGAUUAGAUACCCUGGUAGUCCAUGCCGUAAACGUUGGGCA